rnacentral:rRNA from 1 species
AGUGAACGCUGGCGGUAGGCCUAACACAUGCAAGUCGAACGGCAGCACAGUAAGAGCUUGCUCUUACGGGUGGCGAGUGGCGGACGGGUGAGGAAUACAUCGGAAUCUACUUUUUCGUGGGGGAUAACGUAGGGAAACUUACGCUAAUACCGCAUACGACCUACGGGUGAAAGCAGGGGAUCUUCGGACCUUGCGUGAUUGAAUGAGCCGAUGUCGGAUUAGCUAGUUGGCGGGGUAAAGGCCCACCAAGGCGGCGAUCCGUAGCUGGUCUGAGAGGAUGAUCAGCCACACUGGAACUGAGACACGGUCCAGACUCCUACGGGAGGCAGCAGUGGGGAAUAUUGGACAAUGGGCGCAAGCCUGAUCCAGCCAUACCGCGUGGGUGAAGAAGGCCUUCGGGUUGUAAAGCCCUUUUGUUGGGAAAGAAAAGCAGCAGGUUAAUACCCCGCUGUUCUGACGGUACCCAAAGAAUAAGCACCGGCUAACUUCGUG